GCAUUUUAUAACUUUAUCUUUUUAAAAAGUCUUUAACACAUUAGUUAGAUUUCUUCUACAUAAGUCAAAGAGAAUAUUAAGCAAGCAUUAUGAUUAUUAUUCUUUUCCUGGAAAUCUAGUCCUAUGUAUUACUCUUAAUUCACUGGUGGCUGGUUACUUAACAGGAUUCAGGAACUUUUCUAACUAGCUAUUCCCAAUUUAAUACACACCUGCCAUACAACUGACUAAUUAUCAAAUAUUUCUUCCUUUUCUAUUCUGGAAAAAGAAUCCUACUAUCACUAAAAUAGAUGGUAUGAACAUUUCUGGUGGCUUUAGAGAAACUGGUUGUUCAGAAAUGGAAAGGAAGAAGUGGGAAAAAAACUUAAAACCUUUGAAAGACUUGAUCAUAGCUAAUCUGAUAGAGUUUCCUGCCCUCAAAUGAUUUCCUUCACAGCAUCUAUGUUUUCUGUUUUUUGGCGGGGGUAUACUGCUUAAAGCACUGCCAGAUUGCCACUGUACUUUUGUACAUUUCUUUAAGAAAAAUGUUGAUAAUAUAAGAUCAUUAAAAGAUUAUCAACUCUACCAAGUGGUGUGGAUCCAUCCAACUGCUUAAGAAACUCCUGACUAAACAGUAGAAGAGUAUUUAUGGAGGAGAGAGAAUCUAAAUAGUUUUGCAGCUUAAAGUACAUCUAAAAUUAGAAGAGAAUCAAGGUGAAUUCAUUGUCAGGGACCAGAUA
rnacentral:lncRNA from 1 species